ACAUCAAGAAUUUGGAUUUUCAAGUUUCGACCUUAAGUCGACAAACACAUGAAUCCAAAUGCUACCUUGAAAAUCUGCAAGUUGCAUCUCUAAAUUGUCAAUUUGCAUCCAUUAGAAAUCCUUUAAUUCCAAAGUACUGUAAACAACUACAUCCAGAUAUUUAAUUAUUUUAAUGGUCUGUUCUAGGCUUCUAAAAUGGUUGAAUCUUUCGCUGAACUGUUCAAAUAAUGAGUUUACUAUAUUCUGGUACAUAAGUAUGGACUCCAUUACACUCGUAGUGGCCGUCUCGAAAUACUUUUUUAU